rnacentral:antisense_RNA from 1 species
CUUUAAUCCACCUCUGCAUGUGAUCAUCUGCAUGUGACUCCUUGAACUAUGGCAGCCAGCUGGAACCAUGAAGUAAGCCACCCUAAUAUGAGUGGCAGAAACAUGGAGAGACAGGGUUUCACCAUAAUGGCCAGGCUGCUCUCCACCUCCUGGGCUCAAGCGAUCCACCCACCUCAGCCUCCCAAAAUGUUGGGAUUGCAGAUAUGAGCCAUAGUUCCCCUCCAUCAGCCCAAAUGUCAGUUCCUGGAGUACAAAGGCGGUGGCUGCUUCAGAUGCUUCAGACUGAAACUGCUCUUUGCCAUUCUCAUGGACACUGGAGAGUUAAGUUUGGUUAAAUUGAUGGCUUUUUCUUUUAAAAAAGAAAGAAUACACAUAUACCUUUGUGUACACACAAGCUAGGAAACAUCAAUCUAAUACAUGGAUGGCAAGAAAAACCAGAUCUAGCUCAUGCCAGUUACAAUGGUCUGUGAAGAUAAAAAGAUUUCUUCAGAUUUAUUUCUCAGCCAAUUUCUGCUUUUCCUAGGGAGAAAUUAAAAGUUUGUUAAAUACCUAUGUUUAGCCUUUUAUUAAUUUAGCCGGUGAAAUUAAAAG